rnacentral:rRNA from 1 species
AGCAGCCGCGGUAAUUCCAGCUCCAAUAGCGUAUAUUAAAGUUGUUGCAGUUAAAAAGCUCGUAGUUGAACCUUAGGCCCGCGCGGGCGGUCCGUCCUCAGGGCGAGCACUGCCUCGUCGCGGGUCUCACCUUCUGGCGAGCGUGGAUGCCAUUCACUUGGUGUCUGCGGGAACCAGGACCUUUACCUUGAAAAAUUAGAGUGCUCAAAGCGGGCUCUUACGCUUGAAUACAUUAGCAUGGAAUAAUGAAAUAGGACGACUGUUCUAUUUUGUUGGUUUCCGGGACGGUCGUAAUGAUUAAUAGGGAUAGUUGGGGGCAUUCGUAUUCAAUUGUCAGAGGUGAAAUUCUUGGAUUUAUUGAAGACGGACUACUGCGAAAGCAUUUGCCAAGGAUGUUUUCAUUAAUCAAGAACGAAAGUUGGGGGAUCGAAGACGAUCAGAUACCGUCGUAGUCUCAACCAUAAACUAUGCCGACUGGGAAUCGGGCGAUGUUAUUUUUCGUGACUCGCUCGGCGCCCC